rnacentral:rRNA from 1 species
UCAACGAGUCGGGUUGUUUGGGAAUGCAGCCCAAAUCGGGCGGUAGACUCCGUCCAAGGCUAAAUACAGGCGAGAGACCGAUAGCGAACAAGUACCGCGAGGGAAAGAUGAAAAGGACUUUGAAAAGAGAGUCAAAGAGUGCUUGAAAUUGCCGGGAGGGAAGCGGAUGGGGGCCGGCGAUGCGCCCCGGCCGUAUGCGAAACGGCUCUUGCUGGUCCGCCGCUCGGCUCGGGGUGUGGACUGUUGUCGGCCGCGCCGGCGGCCAAAGCCCGGGGGCCCUAGGUGCCCCCGGUGGCCGUCGUCGGCACGACCGGUACCCGCGCGCCGAAAGGCGGUUCCCUUGGGGCACUGCGCUGCAACGGCCUGCGGGCUCCCCAU